rnacentral:rRNA from 1 species
AUUGAACGCUGGCGGCAUGCUUUACACAUGCAAGUCGAACGAUUAACCUUAGCUUGCUCAUGGAAUUAGUGGCGAACGGGUGAGUAAUGUAUCGGAACGUGCCUUGUAAUGGGGGAUAACUAGUCGAAAGGUUAGCUAAUACCGCAUACGCCCUGAGGGGGAAAGUGGGGGAUCUUCGGACCUUACGUUAUCAGAUCGGCCUAUAUCUGAUUAGCUAGUUGGUGGGGUAAUGGCCUACCAAGGCGACGAUCAGUAGCUGGUCUGAGAGGAUGACCAGCCACACUGGAACUGAGACACGGUCCAGACUCCUACGGGAGGCAGCAGUGGGGAAUUUUGGACAAUGGGCGCAAGCCUGAUCCAGCCAUGCCGCGUGAGUGAAGAAGGCCUUCGGGUUGUAAAGCUCUUUCGCAAGGGAAGAAAAGCUACCAUCGAAUAAAUGGUGAGGCUGACGGUACCUUGAUAAGAAGCACCGGCUAACUACGUG